rnacentral:rRNA from 1 species
GACGAACGCUGGCGGCGUGCUUAACACAUGCAAGUCGAACGGAAAGGCCAUGCGUUUGUGGGGUGCUCGAGAGGCGAACGGGUGAGUAACACGUGAGUAAAAUGCACUUGACAGUGGGAUAACAUCAGGAAAAAGGGGCUAAUACAGGAUAGGAGAUACUGAAGCGCGGGGGGGGAUGGAAAGUUUCGGCGGUUGUGGCUGGACUAGCGGCUUAUGAGCUUGUUGGGGGGGUAGUGGAUGACCAAGGCUUUGAAGGGUAGCCGGCCUGGGAGGGUGACCGGCCUCCUGGGGCCUGAGAGACGGCCCAGUCUCCUACGUUAGGCAGCAGUGGGGAGUAUUGCGCGAUGGGCCGAAGCCUGUUGCGGCAACGCCGCGUGCGUGAUGACGGCCUUCUGGUUGUAAACCGCUUUCGCCUGUGACGAGGCGUGAGUGACGGUAAUGGGUAAAGAAGCACCGGCUAACUACGUG